CCUACGGGUGGCUGCAGUGGGGAAUAUUGGACAAUGGGCGAAAGCCUGAUCCAGCCAUGCCGCGUGUGUGAAGAAGGCCUUCGGGUUGUAAAGCACUUUCAGUGGGGAAGAAAGCCUUGGGGCUAAUACCCUCGAGGAAGGACAUCACCCACAGAAGAAGCACCGGCUAACUCCGUGCCAGCAGCCGCGGUAAUACGGAGGGUGCGAGCGUUAAUCGGAAUUACUGGGCGUAAAGCGCGCGUAGGCGGUCUGAUAAGCCGGUUGUGAAAGCCCCGGGCUCAACCUGGGAACGGCAUCCGGAACUGUCAGGCUAGAGUGCAGGAGAGGAAGGUAGAAUUCCCGGUGUAGCGGUGAAAUGCGUAGAGAUCGGGAGGAAUACCAGUGGCGAAGGCGGCCUUCUGGACUGACACUGACGCUGAGGUGCGAAAGCGUGGGUAGCAAACAGGAUUACAUACCCCGGUAGUC
rnacentral:rRNA from 1 species